AAUAGUACAUAGAAGUGGUAUGAAUAUCUAGAGGCAGCUGCCAAUCUCUACCCCAAAUGAGCUUAAAACAUUUCAUGGAACGUUAAUCAAUGUUUAUCUGAAACUCAAAGUUAAUUAGGUGUUUUUUUUUGUCAGCCUUAGACAUGAAGAAACUAUUACUUGUGUGAAUUGGCACAUACUGGGCACCUCAGCAGAAGGGACAGAUGAGUGUCAUGGUCAUGGUGCUCAGAAAUGCAGCGUCCACGGGCCCUCAAUGACAUGUACAUAUAGCAUGUUUAUGGAAGGAGAUGGGUUUCAGGUGGGUGAAGGCACCUGGAAAAGAUACCUGACACCACAUGAGUUUGAUAACCACUGCUCAUUUCGAUUGGAGGGGCAGAGAGUCUGGGUAAUUCUCAGGUUCCAGAGGAAGAAGAGCUCGGCUAUGGCACAAAUGAAGCCUUUUGAGGCUGAGGUCUGACCAGAUACAAAUUGUGCUUGUCUGCUGAGAUGACAUCUUCAGUGCUUUGUGUACAUCUUUCUGGAAUGUGAUCAGGCUACACUUGGGACCAUUCACGGACACCACAGGAACUGUCUAGAUGGGAUAGUAUCCUAUAUUACAUAAAGGUAUUCCUCUUAAGACUUGUUCAUUUCUAACUCUUACUAUGUAAAUGUUACAGUCUCUCCAACCAGCAGAGAAUUACUUUGG
rnacentral:lncRNA from 1 species